UCCUGUUCGGCCCCGUGCCCCAGCAAAGGCAGGCCGCAGUCAGCGUCGUGAUACCCUGGGUGUCACAUUCUGCCCAGGACGGGACAGGCCCCGGCCUUCGUGGGACAGACUCGUGUGCUGAGACCUGGGUGCUGGCAAGAGGGCACCAAGGUGGCAGCGUCCUCGCUCAAUCUGAGCUAGAACGUCCACCCAGUGGAUUUUGGGCACACGCACGAAUGCAACCAGCAUGUUUUUCAAGCUGCCGGGACUCAAAUCUUGUGGUCAACCAUCUGCAAUCCAGCUGUCUUAAGUCAAAACACGUCUGGCUGACCCGGUCGUGUCUGUGAGGAGUUCGAUUAACUGGGAGGCCAGAGGACAAGACGCAGGAAAUGCCCUGCAGAACUGGAGCAGCAAGUGGGAAGAGCCACGGCUGGAGUUGGGCCCAGACUGUCCCUGGCAGCACUUUCUACCCGGCCUUGGCCUACCCAGGAUUGUGUGCCCCUCCGUCCACAUGUGAACCCUGCCCUGGCUACUCCCCUGCUAUGUGAACUGGACCCCCACUACCUCAAUUUACUGUGCCUCAGCUUCCCCAUCUCCAAACGAAGUAGCAUUUACAUCUGUCUCGUGGUGCUGUCCCAAGAGUUUAAUGAAGGGACGACCACUUUGAGCAGCGCGCACAGCUCCAUGAAUGCUAGCUGUUCCCGACGAUGCCAGAUGCUCUUCCAAUCAGAGACGUGUUCUUGGCUUAAGCUUUUGACUCCACUUACAAAAAUCAUUUGGAAAUAGA